rnacentral:rRNA from 1 species
GAUGAACGCUGGCGGCGUGCCUAAUACAUGCAAGUCGAGCGAACAGAUGAGGAGCUUGCUCCUCUGACGUUAGCGGCGGACGGGUGAGUAACACGUGGAUAACCUACCUAUAAGACUGGGAUAACUUCGGGAAACCGGAGCUAAUACCGGAUAAUAUAUUGAACCGCAUGGUUCAAUAGUGAAAGACGGUUUUGCUGUCACUUAUAGAUGGAUCCGCGCCGCAUUAGCUAGUUGGUAAGGUAACGGCUUACCAAGGCAACGAUGCGUAGCCGACCUGAGAGGGGGAAGGGCAAACGGGGAAGUGAAAAACGGGACAGAACACUAGGGGAGGCAGGAGUAGGGAAGUUUCGGAAAUGGGGGAAAGCCGGACGGAGCAACGCCGGGGGGGUGAAGAAGGGCUUCGGAUGGUAAAACGCUGUUAUGAGGGAAAAAAAAAGGUGAAAGUAACUAAGCACGUCUUGACGGUACCUAAAAAGAAAGCCACGGCAAACUAGGU